CUCAGAAAGAAAAUGUGUGCUUUUUGUUUAAAUGGGGUAUUAUUGAAGAGAGAAUGUGUGAUUUUCGGGACAAAUCAAAGAUUUUUGAAGAGAAAAUGCUUCGUUUUGGGUUACAUGGGGGAUUUCCAAAGAGAAAUUGCAUUUUUUUUCAGGUUAAAUGAAGGAUUCUGAAAAGAAAAUGUGUAAGUUAUGUGAGGCUAGGCGAGGAAAGGAGAGGGUAGCGGAGGCAGGACGAAGCAGGGCGAGGCGCGGCGAGGCGAGGCGAGGCGAGGUGUGGUGAGGCGAGGGGAGGCGCAGCGAGGAGAGGCAAGGCGAGGCGAGGCGAGGCAAGGCGUGGCAAGACAAGGGUAGGCGAGAUAAGGCAAAGGUGAGGCAAAGGCGGGGCGAGGUGUGGCGAGGUGUGGCGAGCAGAGGCGAGGCAAGGCAAAAUGAGGCGUGGCGAGGCGAGGCAAGGUGGGGCGAGGC
ensembl:lncRNA